UGUGUGCGUUCGUGUGUGUGUGCGCUGCGUGGUGACGUAGGCGUGUGCAUGUGUGCCCCGGUCACAGCUCCUUUCAGCAUGGCCGGAGGAGAGGUGUACUGGCAGAUGCAUGACACACACAGAUCAGACUAUUUCUGUGUUGCAGUAUUAAUGAAGCUGCAGACACAGCUCCUUUCAGCAUGGCCGGAGGAGAGGUGCACUGGCAGAUGCAUGACACACACAGAUCAGACUAUUUCUGUGUUGCAGAUGUACAGUAAAGAGCCAAAGACCCAGUACUGUCUCCUGCUUCUUACUUUCACGCCAGAACACAACGCAGCAACAACAGGCGUAACACUUGAACGGGUUACA